rnacentral:rRNA from 1 species
UACGUAGGGUGCGAGCGUUAAUCGGAAUUACUGGGCGUAAAGCGUGCGCAGGCGGUUUUUUAAGCCAGCUGUGAAAUCCCCGGGCUUAACCUGGGAAUGGCAUUUGGGACUGCAAGGCUUGAGUGCGGCAGAGGAGACUGGAAUUCCCGGUGUAGCAGUGAAAUGCGUAGAUAUCGGGAGGAAUACCGAUGGCGAAGGCAGGUCUCUGGGCUGACACUGACGCUCAUGCACGAAAGCGUGGGGAGCAAACAGG